UCAGUGUUUGCUUUUACUACGACUAGACGAGAUGACUAGUCAAGCACUUUUUUUUUUAAAAUUAUGGGUCAAACCGUGUGUAUACAAUCGCUCUAGUGUCCCUUCCUCUGUGUGAGAUCAGGUGCUGACAGAAGUGUCCAGAGAGAAGAAAUCAGACACAGGAGUGUGUUUUGUACGUGUGUGUUUUUAUAGCUCUAACCUCAUUGGGCUACACUGCUUCUCUUCUUCUUCUUCUCUUUCUUUUUCCAUCCAUCCAACUGCCUGCUCUGUGUCUCUGGUAUAACAAGACCCUGAGGAGUGUGUGUGUGUGUGUGUGUGUGUGUGCAUGUGCAGUGAUAUGGAAGGAGAAGUGCAGUGAGAAGUCAACAAUUUUGAGCGACAGCAGCUUGUAAUUUUUUCUCUUCUUAGACCACACAGAAGCUACUUGACUAUCUGUCAGCGAAUUCUCAGUCAAAACACUAGCAGUGUAGCACUAACAGUGUUAGUAUUUUGUUGAUUUUUUCAUUAAAACAGUGGGGAAAACUCAUUAAGUUUAGCACACAAAUGCAGUUGCGCUUAGCGCUCGUAGCUCCUACAGCUACAUCUGGUUAGAAACGUUUCAGUGAGAUUGUGUUGUUUCUGUUCAAUCAUAGCCAACAUGACUGCAAAUCCGUAGAAAGACAAAGGAAAAGCAUUUGUAUGAUGACAAAAUUGACUUGUGGGCUACUUUAUGUUCAAUUUGAGACAAAAUGCUGAUCGUUCCUCAAAUUUCGAUGAAUAUGAACGCUAAACCUGUGAUAUGUUGUAUAUACUGUAAUUCAUUAUUAAUUGUUGUUUAAUUUGAAGUAUAAAGUCAAUUCCAGACUCACUGUACUGUAACGUACACCUAAUGAAAGUUUAGUUUGCGUCAAACCGUAUGACAAAAACAUAUAAACCUCUAAGUUAGCCGCUAUGUAGCUAAGUGACUACACAUUUAAAUGUAGAAAAUGUGCAAAAUGUGAUGCAGAUAUGUGAUGAAACUUUAUUCAGUAGUGUACAGUCGAUGUCAUGCUGUAAUAUGAACUAGCGAGGUUGACAUGAACAAAAAGAAAAUGAACACAAACUCCGCCCCUAACCAUGUCAUCGUUUAUUACAGAUUGAUUUGUUACAACUUUUCCAGCAUAAGAUCUUUUUGGAGGAAAACUCUAAGUGUGUUUCUUUGUCUGUGUGUGUGUGUGUGUCUGUGUGUGUGUGUGUGUGUGUGAUGCUAGUCAGAGGCGUUUCUUUUCUCAUGCUAAAGUCCCAGUUUGUUCAAUUUUAACGAUGUCGUUCCUGUUCAGCCAGGGAUUGUCAGGAUGAGGUGUACCACACUGACCCUGACAUGGAAGCCCCUGCAUGUCCGUGAAUCAUCGCUAGAUCACGUGACGACUAGAACACAGCCAGGAAAGUGUACUUAGCCGCUUAGCUGCUUCUGUUAGCAUCGAUCAUUUUCCACUAAAUUAAAUCAGCAUUGCAACCAGAGGCUUUAUUUGUUCAGUGCCCGCUUGCGUGACUACAUUUGUCCGUGUGUGUGUGUGUCUGGGUGUGUGUGUGUGUGUGUGUGUGUGUGUCUGUGUGGGUGGGUGUGUGUGUGUAUUAGCAGCCAGGGCUAGUCCCCAGUGAGGUUCAUAUUAAGGCUGGACAUCGAUGUGGAAUAUUAAAUUAGCUGAACUCCGCUGAGCUUUCGGAGCAUAUGUGUCGUAGAUUUGUGGUUUUUCUGUAAGCAGAGUGUAUUUGCUUAAGACGUUUUUCAACACUGUUGUGGAACUUUGUAUUCUGAGUGAAUGAACACACACAGACACACACACACACAGCCCUGAGUGUGGUUUGCUUGGGCAGUGCUGAACUUCUUUCACAGCUCGACUAAUGUGCAAAAGCAGAAAAAAAUCAACACUUUGUCCAUAUGUGAUUUGCUCUCUCUCUCUCUCUCUCUCUCUCUCUCUCUCUCUCUCUGUGUGUGUGUGUGUGUGUGAGUGUGUGUGUGUGUGAGUGUGUGUGUGCGUGUGUGUGCCAGAGAGGCUGGGAAGUGGUUCCUCCGUAUCCUCCAUCGUUGCCAAACCCAACAGAGGAAAUGGUGCCUCAUGUGUUAGAAGCUCAGGGAAUUCCUUGAAUUGGACAUUUGAUGUCAGAAAGAGCGAUUUGUUUCUCAUUGCCAUGACCGUGGCUCACUCCUGACCUCCAGCUUUUUUGAGUGUGUGAUUCUCAGGCCUGGAUAAGCGAAUGCCGUACAAUGGCACAGCGAGCUCUCUGGCUGACUGGAUUACAUUCUCAGAAGGAACUCCCUGCGGAAACGCUGCUGAAGUGGCAUACAAAUAGAGGGUCAUUCAGCGAGGACCACGCGGGCGAUGGGACAGACGAGACUCUGAGACCUCGAUGAAUUGCAGAAAAGAGCAGCAGAGUUCCUCAGAGGCUACCUGAGAGAGAAUAGCACAGAGAACAGCUCGUUACCUGUCGAGGGAACAAUCACCGACGGUUCAAGUGUCGCUGAGAGAAACGGGCCGGUCAUGUGAAACUCCAGAGAGAGAGAGAGAGAGAGAGAGAGAGAGAGGAAAGAGGGAAAGAGAGUGAGGAAAAAUCCCAUCAGACGCCACUAUGGCUGCAUCUACUCUCUUAACAAUGACACCCAAGUGACCAGAGGUGUUAUACACACACACACACACACACACUCCACGUGCACUUUAUAAUAAUGCAUGCAUCUGUGCACUCACUCAUACAGAUAUACACUUUACCUCUCUCUUUAUCUCUCUCUCUCUCUCUCUCUCACACACACACACACACACACACACACAGACAAACACUUAUUUAUGCACACACAACACAAAGAAAGCCACAUGUAUAUGCAUCCUAUAAUAAUCCACGUGUGCAUGCACUUAUACUCAUGAAUGCAAACAUAUGUGUCAAAGAUAAAAAGUAUUGGCACCGUCACACAGCAUUUAUUUAUUGACAAAAUAACAACGACAAACUCAAAGAUAUAAUUUAAAAGUCAUUAAAUGUGUAAAUGGAAAUCGAACAUAAAUAAUUUUUAAUGAAAUAACUUUUAUUUGGCUAGUCCUGUAUG